UCAUAGAGUAAGGAACAGUGGUCUGAAGUGGAAGGAAAAAUACAUUUAGAUAUGUUCUCAGUGAUAAAUGAAAACAGAAUUAACAAGACACUUGAGAAUGUGGGAAAAAAAAUACCAAAACACUUUGCAGUUGCCUAAUUGCUGACACUGAUGAACACUAAUGUUGAUUGUGGCUAGUCUGCUCACAGCUGUCAUCUUUCCUGUUUUCCACAGAAAUAAAGAGGAGGCAUUACUAUCAGAACAACGUAUGUAGUUGCUGAAUCCCUCAGGGCAAAUGGCUGCAGGAGUGGGAAGACAUAGUUGGCUGACUCGUUACACACCAGGAAGAAAAAGACAAUUUAAAAACCUCCACAUAAGCUUAAAUCUUCAGUUAAGCUCUCCUAGUACAAUUUGAAAAAUAGAAUGAUGCUGCAGUAUUAGAUCUCUGAAGUGACUGUUAGAUGGAGUCAAUGUGUAGCAUGGGAUCAAACUCCUUAAUAUAAUACAUUAGACAAAAAGUUUGCUAAAAUUUGAAUCAUUAAUUCAAUGGCUCCCAAGCUUGA
ensembl:lncRNA